rnacentral:rRNA from 1 species
UACGUAGGGUCCGAGCGUUGUCCGGAAUUACUGGGCGUAAAGAGCUCGUAGGCGGUGUGUCACGUCGGCCGUGAAAACCUGGGGCUUAACUCUGGGCGUGCGGUCGAUACGGGCAUCACUAGAGUUCGGCAGGGGAGACUGGAAUUCCUGGUGUAGCGGUGAAAUGCGCAGAUAUCAGGAGGAACACCGGUGGCGAAGGCGGGUCUCUGGGCCGAUACUGACGCUGAGGAGCGAAAGCAUGGGUAGCGAACAGG